ACCUAGUCCCACCACACCCCCAAGGGUAUUCAGCAGUGAUAGAUAUUGUCUAUAAGCGCUAGCUUGACCCAGUUAUAGAGAAGAGAGCCGGCCAACUUGGUGCCAGCCGCCGCGGCUAGACCAACUGGACUCAAAUUGAUAAUCCCCGGCGUUAAGCGUGAUUAAAGCAUGAACAAAUUAGAGUUAAACCUACGUUGAGCAGUGAAAAGCACACGAUAGGGAAAUCCAAAAACGAAAGUUAUUCUAAUCCUUGCUUGAAUACACGACAGCUAGGGCACAAACUGGGAUUAGAUACCCCACUAUGCCUAGCCGUAAACUAUUAACCUACACCCACCCGCGCCAGGGAACUACGAGCUUUAGCUUAAAACCCAAAGGACUUGACGGUGUCCCACCCAACUAGAGGAGCCUGUUCUAUAAUCGAUGACCCCCGCUCCACCCAACCCCCCCUUGCUUUAUCAGCCUGUAUACCUCCGUCGUAAACCCGCCGUAUGAAUGUACCCAAGCGGAUUUAAUGGUCCCACACCAACACGUCAGGUCAAGGUGCAGCCAAUGGGAGAGGUAAGUGAUGGGCUACAAUUUCUAGUCUAGAACAAACGAAAUUCUGCAUGAAACACAGUUAUGAAGGAGGAUUUAGUAGUAAAAAGAAAGUAGCGUGUUCUUUUUAACAUGGCCCUGGGACGUGUACACA
rnacentral:rRNA from 1 species